AGAGCGGCGGACGGGUGAGUAAUGCCUAGGAAUCUGCCUGGUAGUGGGGGAUAACGUUCGGAAACGGACGCUAAUACCGCAUACGUCCUACGGGAGAAAGCAGGGGACCUUCGGGCCUUGCGCUAUCAGAUGAGCCUAGGUCGGAUUAGCUAGUUGGUGAGGUAAUGGCUCACCAAGGCGACGAUCCGUAACUGGUCUGAGAGGAUGAUCAGUCACACUGGAACUGAGACACGGUCCAGACUCCUACGGGAGGCAGCAGUGGGGAAUAUUGGACAAUGGGCGAAAGCCUGAUCCAGCCAUGCCGCGUGUGUGAAGAAGGUCUUCGGAUUGUAAAGCACUUUAAGUUGGGAGGAAGGGUACUUACCUAAUACGUGAGUAUUUUGACGUUACCGACAGAAUAAGCACCGGCUAACUCUGUGCCAGCAGCCGCGGUAAUACAGAGGGUGCAAGCGUUAAUCGGAAAUACUGGGCGUAAAGCGCGCGUAGGUGUUUCGGUAAAGUUGGAUGUGAAAUCCCCGGGCUCAACCUGGGAACUGCAUCCAAAACUGGCGAGCUAGAGUAUGGUAGAGGGUGGUGGAAUUUCCUGUGUAGCGGUGAAAUGCGUAGAUAUAGGAAGGAACACCAGUGGCGAAGGCGACCACCUGGACUGAUACUGACACUGAGGUGCGAAAGCGUGGGGAGCAAACAGGAUUAGAUACCCUGGUAGUCCACGCCGUAAACGAUGUCAACUAGCCGUUGGGAGCCUUGAGCUCUUAGUGGCGCAGCUAACGCAUUAAGUUGACCGCCUGGGGAGUACGGCCGCAAGGUUAAAACUCAAAUGAAUUGACGGGGGCCCGCACAAGCGGUGGAGCAUGUGGUUUAAUUCGAAGCAACGCGAAGAACCUUACCAGGCCUUGACAUCCAAUGAACUUUCCAGAGAUGGAUUGGUGCCUUCGGGAACAUUUGAGACAGGUGCUGCAUGGCUGUCGUCAGCUCGUGUCGUGAGAUGGUGGGUUAAGUCCCGUAACGAGCGCAACCCUUGUCCUUAGGUACCCAGCACGGUAAUGGUGGGCACUCUAAGGAGACUGCCGGUGACAAACCGGAGGAAGGUGGGGAUGACGUCAAGUCAUCAUGGCCUUACAGGCCUGGGCUACAAACGUGCUACAAUGGUCGGGACACAAGGGUUGCCAAGCCGCGAGGUGGAGCUAAUCCCAUAAAAACGAUCGUAGUCCGGAUCGCAGUCUGCAACUCGACUGCGUGAAGUCGGAAUCGCUAGUAAUCGCGAAUCAGAAUGUCGCGGUGAAUACGUUCCCGGGCCUUGUACACACCGCCCGUCACACCAUGGGAGUGGG
rnacentral:rRNA from 1 species